AUUGAACGCUGGCGGCAUGCCUAACACAUGCAAGUCGAACGAGUGGCGGACGGGUGAGUAAUGUCUGGGAAACCGCCUGAUGGAUGGGGAUAACUAUUGGAAACGGUAGCUAUUACCGCUUACCAUCGGAAGUGCCCCGGUGGGAUUAGCUAGUAGGUGGGGUAAAGGCUCACCUAGGCGACGAUCCCCAGCUGGUCUGAGAGGAGGACCAGCCACACGGGAACUGAGACACGGUCCAGACUCCUACGGUAGGCAGCAGUGGGGAAUAUUGCGCAAUGGGCGCAAGCCUGAUGCAGCCAUGCCGCGUGUAUGAAGAAGGCCUGCGGGUUGUAAAGUACGUUCAGCGGGGAGGCGUUACCCACAGAAGAAGCACCGGCUAACUCCGUGCCAGCAGCCGCGGUAAUAC
rnacentral:rRNA from 1 species